rnacentral:lncRNA from 1 species
UUUUUUUUUUUUUUUUUUUUUUUUUUUUUUUUUUUUUUAAGAAAUAGAUAGCAAGCUAUCUGCUUCAUUCAUUAAGCAAAAUAAAUUUAGCUUACAAAAUGGAAGCAGCUGGGGCCUCCGAACCGAGCCAAUGGAAAAAGAGAAAACGAGAAAAACCAGGUCUAUGUGACCAAACAGGCAAGGGAAAACAAAAUAUACAAAGGGGAAACAAAGAGCAGAGCACGGGAGAGUAUCAAAGUGUUUCGUUCUAGGCUUCGAUCAAAACGGUGACACGUUUGAGUGCCCGGGAGACAUUGAGAGGCACGUCGCGGAAGCAAAUGUCGUUACGCUCCGUCCAGACAACCCACCAAAUUGCCGCCAACUUGGUUAAAAUUUUUGAUCUCGUUACGACCUCAGGGACGUACGAGGUCUGAGUCCAUAGCUGACGUACAUCCCUCACAUCCGAAUCAGCAGCCACUAGUGCUCCUGCUUUAAAACGAAGAUAUCUGACGACGAUACAGUCGUGAAAUAGGUGGUCACAGGUUUCGGCUAGUAAGACACAGAACCUGCAGUGCUGAUCCACAAGGCAUCCUCGGCGAAGCAGUCUGUCUGCUGUGGGUAAUCUCUUUCGAAGUAGAAUCCAAAUAAAAACUUUGUGCUUGAGCGGGAUUUUGGCUAGUAACAGGUUUCGGCUAGUAACGCGGCUAGUAACAGGUUUUGAAGUAGAAUCCAAAUAAAAACUUUCGACGUAGAAUCCAAACAGGUUUCGGCUAGUAACGCAGCUAGGUUGAUGGCUAAAUAAUACUGGUUUCUUUUAUUAUUCUUUCUUUUAAACAUGAAUAAGACAUCGAGUAUACUAAGGCAGUGUUUGGUUAGGGAAUAGGAAUAGGAAUAGGCUUUUAUCCCCCUUUAUACCCAAACGCUAAUUUUUACUCGAGAAUAGUAGUUCUCGGUUAUCCCUACCAGCACCUCCAUUUUCUAUGUAAAACUAUCUAAAAUUGUUCUUAUUCUCGGAAACAACUCAAUUUUCAUCCAAAUACUAUUUUUCUUAUUCCCAUAUUUGUAUAUAUUCCUGUAAUAGCUAGUUCUUAUUUAUACCCAAACGAAACGGUACCUAAAUGCUAGCAUGUAAUAUAAAAUAUAUAUAGAGCCAGAUACGAAUUUUUUUUAUAAAUAAUCAUAUCAAUUUUUAUAAUUAUAAAGAUAAUUUUUUUAAAAAAAUAAUUAUAAAAAUAGACCUCUAAAUGCAGUGAAUGAUUCACCGCAUUCAUAACUCCUUUUUAUAAGUAAAAAAAGAAUAAAAACGGUGAACCAUUCACCGCUUUUACCAUUGUAGAAAUAUAGAAAGAAGUAAAAAAAAGAAAAAAAGCGGUAAAUGGUGAAUGGUGAACCGUUCACCGUUUUUAUAGGACCAUAAUUACAAAUAAAAAUUUAACAGAUAUAUUUAUAAAAAUUUAACAGAUAUAUUUUUAGAAUAAAAUUUUAGGAGAAGACUCAAGUUUGAAUCCUAAUUGAUUCACAUUUCCAGCUAAGUUUAUUUCUAAAUGAAAUAAACGAAGCGGGUAGCGUGCUACCUAUCUCUCAAAAAAAAAAAAAUUUAGGAGAAGACUAUUGCACUAAAAAACCCGCCAGAUACAAUGACAUUGUUUGCGAAUAUCAGGCUCUGUUUGUUAAUUAGUAGUAUAUAUGGCAUGUUGUGAUUGAAUCUUUAAAUAUAAUAACUUUGUUAGGAUACCCUGGAUCAGAGGCGGCCUCGUUUAUAACUAGGUCAAUUUGAAUUAGAAUGAUAAAAUCAGUCAUAUAUAGCAGGUAUUAGACAAUUUAUUUAUUAAUUAAGCCGCACAAUGUCAUAACCAAAUAGGUUAUGACUUAACAUUGAAACCUUAAAGCUGAAUGAAAGAUGUACAAAUAGAUUCGAAGAUCUCGACUUACGACUUAGUUCUAUACUUGGAUUUCAAUUCGCUAUGCAGUGGAAACUCAAAACCUAUGUGUUGUUUCAGAAGUUAAGAGUUUCAUUUGUUUAUUUGUGUUGUUUCAGAAGUUGAAUGAAGUUGUUUCAGAAGUUGAGUUUCACUUUCAUUCGCUUAUUUCAGUAGAAGCCCAACCGAAAAGCAGACACUUGCAGCAAAGCUGAUUCAACCGGACCCGCUGGGUUACAAGUUUUCUCAGGAAAACAGUUUGAAGAGCAUUAUCAAUUUUCUCUCAUUAUUAAAUUGUCGCCCACAGAUCCCCGUCACAUGACAAGUAGAUAUUGAGUUUCUGAAUUUAAAACUCAAUUAUUUUAGCUUCCAACAACACCAACACCAACACCAACAACAACGAACAAAACUAUCCAAACAAUUUGCAACAAACCAUCCGACUACCAAAAUCUACUAUUUCUUAAACUAGAAAAGCUAUUGUCGAAAUUAGGCCAAACUGAUACUUACUGCAACCGACCCAUGACUCUAAUUUAACUGCCCCCGCAUCAUUAGGAGAAUUAUAUGAAGCAUAGUGGAGAAUACGAUAAAAACAGAUUUGAUGUUCAGUGUACAUACCAGAUGACGGAUGAAAAGGAAUCAUCAACGAAGUCCAAUUUGCCAAUAAUGAAAAAUUUACUAAACCUGAUUACUAUUCACUGAUUGCAUUUGACCAGAUUCAGCGGUUGAUAACACCGACACAACUGUACUGCUGAAUCAGGGGUCAUAGCAUGAAUUUGGCAAUCCAGCACCUGGUGUGCACAAAGGAAAAUAGAUGAGUACAAAUUGCUUACUCCGAAACGCCUCAAGCUGUUCCUUUACAUUUGGCUGAAUUUAACCAAGCUCAAUGAACUUGACACAUGCAUGAUAAAAGUGACUCUAUUAAUGAGACAGCACCAUGCCUGUAAUGCCUAGCGGCGGAAAAUAUUAUGAACUUCACAUCAUUCCAACAGUGUAUACAAGUUUGAGAAUACCAUGAGCUCUUCUAAGGUGGCAAGCUAACAAAGAAUCCAACUUUAUGCACACACGAUAAUAGGAACAGCUCUCCAGAACUAAAAUAGUAGAUCUGGUCCAUUUUGUAUCAUUAUAAUUGUGAAGCCACUACAACUCCUAAUGUAAUAAAAUGUAAAAUAACAAAAUCAACAAGUUGAGACUGGUUGAGCAUUUGCUUUCAUGGCUCUAUAGCAUUCUAAACUGCAAAGCGGAAGCUUCGACUGGGAAUCUCGGUAUUUGUAAGCAUUUGUACACAACGGAGCCGCACAUUUCUCCCUUGGAGGAGGAUAACUGACAAAAUCAAUAAAAAUAAAUUAAUAAGGAUUGAUGCCAAGAUGGUAGAAUGAGAUUGGCAAUAUGAGUGAGGACUAAACAAAUGAAGAAUUCAAUGAGUAGGAGUUUUUCAGACAUUUCAGCAAAAGGUUGGCACCUAACCUGCACUGUUUGGAGUUAAAAAUGCAUGGAAGGCCCACAUUCUCGCCAAAUGUAACAACUUUGCCAGCUGGUCCCAUGACCCAUCUCACGGAAUUUGGUUGUAAUAUCAAAGAUUCAGCAGCUUUCUUCUGAGAAAAUGCACAAGAUUCAAUCAGUACGUGUAUGAUAGAUGCAGAACUGAUAAUAUAAGGGACAAGAAUUGACUUUUUUUUAUAAUCAUCCCCAUCUAAAAGAAAAAAAAAAGGAUUCUUAUUUAGAAUUUUUGUAAUAUUGAAACUUAUAUAUGCAUCACCCCUUAAACUACAUGAUUCCAUCACAUCUAUCCAUUGCUCAAAGGUCAAUGCAGUAAAAUGUAAGUUUAAAACUUCACAGGGGCAUUGUGAAAAUUGUGAUAUGUAUAUGGGGAUUUCCAGCUUCUUAGCCAUAUGUUUACCUGAGCCAAUUCUUCCCGCUCCUUACGAAUCUUUUCCUCCUUUUUCUUCCGACUUGAAUCCUGGCCUAGGAUUUUCCUUAUUGCUUCAGCCUGUAACAUUACACAGUGUAACUUAGUUCAGAUUCCAACGGACACAAACAGGAGAAAGAUUAGCUCAAAAUAAGAAACAAAAGAUCAACCUCUAAUUCCCGAGCUGCCUUCUCAACUUGCAUUCUGCGCCUCUGAGCAGCCUCGGCCUUCCUUGCCUGCUGCUCCACCUCAGAGAGCUUCUCCUUUUGCUCUGUAAACGCAUGUCAAGAUAUAAAGGUUAAGAAAAUAUAUCACUGCAAAACCAUCUACUUGCACAUCACACAUACCCCUGUAAAAAUCUAGGAAAUGGGGUUCCUUAACAAAUGUACCCUUAAUUUGGGAAGUCAUCAAAUUCAUGGUUAGAUAAUUUUUUUUAAAAGGCAAACAUUUUAAGUACAGGGAUAUAUAUGGCAGAAACAAGGUCUUUGAAGGGCAUAUUAAAAUUCAGGUUUUGCAAGGAAUUUUAUGAAAAUAGGUAACUUUACAGGAUUAUAUAGUAGAUAUACUUAAUUACAACAAUAAUAGAUUUAAUUGUAGAGUAUUUGAUUACUUCUUGUUGGAGCAGGUGGUAGGCCAUCAGGAAACUCGAUCAAACCACCGCCAUUGCUCGACUGAAGGGCUCGUUGCCGUGUUGUAAGAGGUUCUGUUCUCACAUCAGCCAAUUGUUCUACAGAUUCUUUUUUGAGUUUCUUCUUCUUAGUAUCAAGACCAUCAUCAGAACCAGGCUCUUCCUCUUGAACAUAAUCUGUUCUGUCCAAUCCUUUCCCCGUGUUCAAUUUCUUCCUACUUUCCUUAUUGGACUGGAUCAAACCGUAAUCCUCAUCCACGCUAUACGCACUUAUCUUACUUCUCUUAGAAGUUUUUUGUUUCUGAAUAUAUCGCAUCUCAUCAUCUUCAUCGUCCUCGUCUAAUGAACCUUCUCGGAUUCGUCGUUUGCGAACCCGUUUGCUUUUUCUAGCAGGUUCAUCUACAGAGGUUCGCUGGUUCUUAUCCUUCUCCUUUUUGUACCUAAUGUCUUCCAUAAUUUUUGCUUGUGAAUCCUCUUUUGCUCCCCGGGAAAGCCUUUUUUCAUUUAAAUUCGUCCGCGAAAGUCCUUGCAUCUCAUCCCCUUUUUCAAGCGGAGGAUCAUCGUCAUCCGACAUUGCCUGCAGCAGAAAUAAGUUCGAUUUACAUGUUUUUUGAAAAAAAGUGAAUCGUUGCCUCGCUGGGCUCUACUCUGCAUUUUUUAAGGCAUUCUAUCACUGAAAGGAUCACUAUAAAGCUACAAUCAUAAUUUGGAACUUCUCUGAGUAACCAACCUUGGGCAAAUUGCAGUGCCUCAAAUUUGCAUUUCAUUUCAAUAAAACCCUUUCCAUUAAAUUGGACCAACGAUUCCAAUAAUUUGCUAUUCUUGAAGUCUAAGUGUCAUAGCAUUUAACAGGUAAUUAUGUGAACAUUCCAUUCAUUUCGAUGGAGAAAGUUAAUGAACAAAAGGUAAGAUUGCAACUUACUCCAAAGGUUAGGAAUCCAACUGACAUAAUUUAAUUCGAGAGCCAAAAUGAAUCUAUACUAAAAAGCCAAGGACCCUCAGGGCAUUUUACCCAACCAGCACUAUAUUCUUAUUUUAUUGCAAAGAACUCUUUCAAUCAUUGUUAAUUGCAUUGCUACUUCACUACAGAGUAAAUUUACAUUCACUUAAUAGGCCUAAAGCUUGAGCACAAGAUGCAUACCAUAUUAUCUCAAAAUUCUAUUUAUCUAACAACUAGGCCAUAAUACAAGCUUUAAAAAUAAUUAUAAUAAGCCAGAGGAUUACCUGAAGAAGCAGCUUUUGACGCUGCCACGAAGCCUCUUUAGAUCUUGGAAACUUCUCCAAAAGAACGCCUCUUCUCUUGCUCUCCAAAUUCGAUUUCGUAUUAAUGGUGCGGGUGACUCCACCAACCCUAAGCGUGACUCUCGUGAGAUUGUUCUCAGCUGAUCCAUUGACCACUCCAACAUUCCGACCUAAAUCCUCACCUUUACCGCUCUUCCUAACAUAGCCAGCAUCAGGUCCCGAACCCACUCCAAUCUUUUCCUUAGUCUUGCACCUCUUUAACUCAGAUUUACUCCCCGCUUUAUCUGAAUUAACUCUAGAAGCAUCGGUUCUAUAGAACGAUUCAAGAGCUCCAAACUUUUUAUCCUCCUUCUUGAAGCUUCUUGGAAUAGAAGAGCUUUCAAUCCUACUGAGAUUAACUUCUUUCCUCCGAGAAGAGGAAUCAUAGCCCGAAAUCUUGCUGGUAUUAUCGGAGGAGGGGGUUGAUGAGGGAGGCGAAAUAUCAGCCUCUGCACCGAACACCGAGGCCGGGCGAGGCCGCCUUGAAUUAAUUGUCCUCCUUUUCUUCGAAACACCGUUAGAAAUAUCAAAUCGUGAUGGCCCCGAUCCUUCCAUUGCAGGAUUAUUGGCUUCAAUAGCAGAAUCAAUUACAAUUAUUCCCUUCUUGCGGAUCUUAUCUGUAGAUUGAGAAAUAUUGGUACAAAAUUAGCUAACCAAGUAGGAGUGAACUAAGAAUUCAUCAAAAUCACAAACCAAAAAAAAAAAAAAAAAAAAAAAAAAAAAACUGUGAGAAAAUUUAAAAGAGAGAAGCAGUUAGGGAUGAUUGAUGAUCCCCAAAUCAGUUUAAACAGAAAAUUUUUAGACGGGAUUAAGAAAAAGACUAUCAAACUCCCGAUUUGAUUCGGAGACAAAUUUUAAUACAUAAAAAAUUAGGGUUGUUACGACGUAACUGAAGAGAUCGAUGAAGAAAACCUAUCCAACAGAGGCAUCCAAAAAAUUAAAAAUUAAAAACGACCAGAACGCAAGAAAUAUCAUGAAAACCGACAUCAAACAGCGAGAAAAGAGAGCCCUAAUCGAUCCAUCAACAAAUUGAAGAUACCUCGCUAGCGACAGAGAAGAGGAGAUGCGAGACGACGCGGACGGCGACGAAGGUUGAGAUCUGAGGCGCCGCGAGAAGCGGGGAAUUGGGGGGAUCGGGAUCGGGAUGGGGAUUGGGAUUUGGGGAAUUAGGGUUAGGGUUAGAAGAGGGGAGAGGAGAGAGUGGGUCUCCGAGUCGGUGUCGUUGGAUUGAGGGGAAAGGGGGGGCCUUGAAGACGAUAACGCCGUGGAUGCUUCCCCCAUUUUGCCCUAAAUCCGCUCUCUCUCUCUCUCUCUCUCUCUCUCUCUCGCUCUCGCCACUUCGCCCACCAGGUGUUUGUAUGCUGUUGUGGUCUACGCGCGCUCCUCUUCGUAGGCUCUUGGGGGAAAUUGCACUGCUAGUCCCUAAACUCUUAAAAUAUUCCAUUCUAGUCCUUUUCAAUAUUUUUUAGACUUAAUUACAAAAGUCCUUUUUGUACCUUAUAUGUUUGUUUCAACAAAAUUGAACUUUUGGUUGAAGUGAACUUUUGGUUGAAGCAGAGUUCAGUAAAAAUUAUUUUUCUCUGCUGUUUAUUCUGUAAUUAUGAAAAUAAAGUUUUAUUAGUUUUGCUAUUUGUUUAGUUAAAAAUAUGAGAUAUAAAAUUAUAAUUUUUAUAUAAAUAAUAAAUAAUGUAACAAAUAAAAUAGUAUAAUUAUAUUUUUAUAUAAUUAAAAUUUAAUUUAAAACAAUUAAAUCAAUUUUUUAUAUAUAAAUUAUAGUAAUAUAAUAAUAAAAUUAUAAAGUAAAAAAUUAUUAAUACUUAAUUAAUCAAAUUUUACCAUAUUUUAAUUAUACAAACUAAAUAAAAAAUAUUAAAACUUAACUAAUCAAUUUUUAUUAUAUUUUAAAUAUGCUAAAAAAAUAAAAGAGUAAUUAAGUAUUAAUAAUUUUUUACUUUAUAAUUUUAUUAUUAUAUUACUAUAAUUUAUGUAUAAAAAAAAUACCUAUAUUAUUUUUAUUUAUUAAAUUAUUUAUUAUCAUACACUUCCUAUCAAACAAACAGCAGAACUAAUGAAACUUCACCUCCACAACUACGAAACAAACAACAGGGAAAAAAUAAUUAAUACUNCCAUAUUUUAAUUAUACAAACUAAAUAAAAAAUAUUAAAACUUAACUAAUCAAUUUUUAUUAUAUUUUAAAUAUGCUAAAAAAAUAAAAGAGUAAUUAGUAUCAUAAUUAAAUAUAUUUAAAUAUAACUAUCUUUACCUAGUAUAUUAUUUUAUUAUUUUUUUCACAUUUUUUCAGCAUAAUUGAUUUCGGUCCAUGAUGAAGUCAAUUACAUCAUUUCAAAUUAAGUCGAGUUUUAACCGUAAUUCUUUUACGACGAACUAAACAACGAAAAUGAUCGUUUAUAGCGAAAACGACUUCCCUCCUUUUCAUUUCACCUCAUUUUCAUCCAAACAAAUAUACCCUUAUACUAUCUAUCAUUAAUCCAUCCAUUAAAAAUGACAUUAAUUAUCCUCUCAUAUUUUACCAUUAUUCUAAAUUUAUCAAAAAAAAAGGUAAAAAUAUUGUUGAAAGUUUGAAAAUUAAAUUAAAUUAAAUUUUUAUUAAAAAAUUAGGAUCUUAAAUAUUGAAAUUAAAUAUUUGAGGACGAAAAUAAAACCUCCCAAUCGAAUUUUGCUCAGGUAGCAUUGGUGGAGAAAUGAUUGCCUAAACCUAGUCCACCAUGGACCACUCCCCUAAGACACAAUCAAGGGUCUCGUGUUACGCAUAAUUGUGAUUAUUCUUAAGGACCUUUUAAUCUCCUCUAGCUCAAAAGCGAACCAACUAAUACAUAGUGGAUAAAAUUGUUAAUGUGGAUCUUUGAUUAGUUGAUCACAUGGAAGGUACAAUAAGGAGAGCUUAGAACUAGAGACAUCAUUUAUUAAGUAAAAAACAUUUAGCACAUAUAUCUGUACUGCUGCAGUAUGUUAGGGUGACGAGCUGCUUCUUUCGCUCUGUUUUCUUUCUUCUUCUGUUUUGAUACAGUUCGUGGACUCGCUUAAACUCCCGAGUCCCGAGCACGGAGAGACGGCAAAGGCCUACAAAUUUUUUAGCACUACCGGACCGGACCGGACCGGACCGGAUCACAUUCAACAACUGGCUCAUUGGCUGUUUACAUUGCUUGAGCUGCAUCACCAAAAACAAGUUCAGCUACAGUUAAUGAAAUGGAACUGGCACAAAUGAAGUAACAAAAUAAGUGGUAUAACUUUAUUCUGGGUCAUUGAGUCUAACACUGAGUAGUUGUUCACUUUGUCCACUGCAGUUUACAGAAAAUAUAUUUUGCAAGUCUCUGAACUCCUUUUUCUCUUGGAUUCAGCGGAAUAAUAUUGCUGUCCUUAGCAGAAAAAUUGGACUUCUUAAGCAUCAUUCAGCAAAAGAUUAGAAGAGCAAUUGAACUAUGUUACAUUAUUAGGUGAGCUGAAGCAGAAUUGUUCAACAUAAAGGUGCUAAAAAGUAAAGUAUAUUUAUUCUGACUUUGUGCUCCUUUCAGAUCUUCUGUGUCCCUUUCAUCAGCAAAGGGCAUUUGACUAUUAAUGAAAGUAGUUGGAAAUUUUCAACAACAAAUUAGAAACAAAUGGUCGGUUAUCGCUUAACAAUGAAAUUUAGGAACAUCCAAAUCAUAACCAAAAUCAAAGUAAGAAAUUAGAGGAGAGGAGAAAAGUAAAACAAACAUUUGUAUUAUAUUUUUGCUGUGUCAUAAUAUGUUUAACUACCAAUUAACAACUGUGGAGUAUAUUUUCCCCAACAACAGGAACAAAAGAAACCAAUCUACAAAUGAAGCAGCAGCUCAUAAACCAUCAUAAUACAUGGCCUCAACUAUAUAUCGGCCAACUCUCCAAGCGGAAUUUACAGAAAAAAGGCAAAAAAAAGGCUAAAAUGCAAAAGGAAAAGCCCUACAAAAUAGAGCUAUUUGCACUAUACCCACUGGACUUUAAAAAGCAUACAUUUAAGCGCCUCAUUGUAUAUAGGCUUUAGCACUUAACCCCCUUCCUAUCAGAUUUUCUGUUUAGGAAUUUUUUUGGUAGCAUUAAAAUAUAACCUGAGAUACCUAUUAUACUCCUUUUAUGGUAGGAAGGACAAUAUCAAGACUCUAUAUGAUGGGAAGGGGGUUUGAGCGGGCGGUGGGCAAAGUGCACCGUGACGCUAUCUUUCAGAGGGUUUCUGCACUUUAGCCAAAAAGGAAUUAAGAAACAUAUAUACUGUGGCUUCUUUUCUUUAAGAUCACCUUAUUACCUUGCAUCCAAUUGGCUCACCGAUAUCUGAUUCAGCGAGAAGGGGGAUUUUGAUGAGGACGUUACGACAGAAGGUGACUCUGAGCUAUUACUUUUAGAACUUGUACCCUUAACGUUAAUAAAAGGAGGCUGAGAUGGAAGAGGGAGUUCUUUUGAUUCGCUGUUAAGCAAUUCCACCACUUUCCACAUCGGUGGCCUUAGAUUUGGCGAUGCCUGUGCACAUAAUAGACCCACUUGGAACACCUUCAGGGCUUGCUCCUCCGGGCACCGUUUUUGAAGGCAAGGGUCAAGAAGUUCGAUUACGGUUUUUGCAUUGAAGUGUUGCCAUAUCUAAUUAUCAGAAAAAUAAAGGAAAUAUGCAAUUAAGUUCAAAUGCCAUAUUUAACCAUCGGUUAAAUGACAUGAUGCCAAUCAGAGAAGAGUGUUACCAAUGACAUAAGAGAAUGGCCUUCAUCUGAUGAAGCCACAGAAUUGUGGUUCUUUCGACCAGUGAUUAUCUCAAGAACAAGUACGCCAUAGCUGUAAAUAUCGGCCUUCUCAGUUAACUGCCCAUGAACAAUGUACUCAGGAGCCAUAUAACCGCUGCAAGAGAUCAAGAUUUUAUAUGUCAGUACAUGUUGAUUCUCGGUUAACCAACCAUGUACAGAGUAUCCUGUAAUGCAAGUAACUAACUACAAGACGGUCCUUGUGUAACCGGCUUCAAGUAACAAUUCACAAUGUGGAUUGAUAAUGUAUACUGAAAAACAAGAGGGUCUUUGACUCACAAAGUUCCAGCUAGGCCUGUACUAAGAUGACUCUGAUCCUCCAUGAAAUUCCUCGCCAACCCGAAAUCUGCAAUCUUGGGCUUAAAUCUCUCAUCCAACAAUAUAUUGCUAGCUUUUAUAUCCCUGUGUAUAAUCCUGAUUUCUGAAGCACUAUGCAGAUACGAUAGCCCCUCCGCCGUUCCAACGAUAAUUUCAAAUCUCCUCUCCCAGUCGAGCAAAUUCUUCUUGAAUGAGUCUAAAUUUUUGUUAAAAAAUAUAUUAAUUGCAUUGACAUUGUAUAAUUAUGUAAAAAUAUAUACAAAACUUACAUGAAUUAUAUCGUGCUAUAAAAGUUUUGAUUUACUUUGAGCAAACCUAACGUAAUUUUAUGAAACCAAAGGGAAUGAAAGGUUAGGUAAUAAAAUCAAAAUUUCUAAAUUCAGGUAGCCAUUUCAAAAUGAGCUUCGCAUAAGGUAUAUACAUUUUUAUUAUCAAUUUCUCUCAUAAAAAAGUUAAAUCAGUGGUAACAAAGCAAUUCAGUAGUACCGAACAAGAAGUUAUCCAAGCUGGUAUUGCAGAGGUACUCAUAGACUAGGAGACUCUCUGGCCCUUCAACGCUGCAGCCGAGAAGCUUAACAAGGUUCUUAUGCUGAACUUGACUUACGAGAGUGACUUCAUUAAAGAACUGAUCGACCCACGGCCUUGUAGUGAAGAACAGCCUCUUUACAGCAAUUUCUCUCCCAUCUGAUAGAACUCCCUAGCAAGAGAAAGUUAAUACCAUUUAAACACCCAAAAUUCCGUUCUUCAUUGCGGAGACAAACAUAUAGGAUCAUGUAGAAAUCAGCAUAUUACAUCCACAAUGAUUUUCAAAGACUAGGGGCCUGUUUGGCCCUGCUAAGCAUUUUUAUUAUCAUCAACAGUUUCGUACUGUGGCAAAACAGAAGCCCUUAUAGAGGCCAGGACAACAGAAACUUUUUCGUCAAACAUGUUUGAUCAUAAUUAUGAAAAGGAAUACCUUAUACACUGAGCCAUACCCGCCUUGGCCGAGCUUGUUGAUUUGAUUGAAGUUAUCUGUUGCUUUUCUCAAAUCUUCAUACUUGAAGCUUAAAUGAGACCCAGAGAUCGACCUAAUAUAUUCCCCUGAGCCAUCCAAAUCUGCAAUUCAUAUCGAAAGAUUUAGCUGUAGAAGUAUGUAAUUUACGAACCUACACAUUCUCUAUGCUAGCAAUUCACUUACCGUCAAUUAAAUCGUCUUUAGAUCUCAUUUUCUUCCAUAUAAUGAUGAUACCAAUAACGGCAAGAACAGCGACAACCGAAGUUAGAGCAACAAUAAUUGUCCGCCGAGCUGCCACAAAGAAAUCGAUACAUCUUCGUUUUAAUAAAAAAACUAUUACUAACAUAGUUUAGAAUGAGAAUCAUCAUCCUUUUCUUUUGUAAUCAGAUACAUGAUAUUACACACAUCAACAAAAAUUUAGUAAACAUCACCGCAUAGCAGAAGAAAAGGGAUAAAAGAGUUGGCAGAAGCAAUCAGUUACUGAAUCAAAAAUUAAAAGAAAAAAAUUAAAAGAAUUUUUUAAAAAAGAAACUUGGAGAAAAAAAGAAGGGCAAUAUAAGCCAAAACUUUGAUUGCGAGUAUAGAUGAACCUCCCAUAGCAUAGGCUAUUUAGGCCAAGUAGGAUAAAUUAGCCCCAAAAAGAAAUAAAUUCCCAUAUCUUUUGGCACCUGAAUUGCUUUACACACUCUAUUGAUAAACCAAAAAAAAAAGAACCCUAUUAAACCACCUUGCAAAAAAAAAGAAAAAACAACAACAACAACAAAAGAAAUCCUUCUAAUUCUGCUAGUUAUUUGAACCUCAAAUACUACCAAAAAUCUUAAUAUUUUCUUCAAAAAAAAAAAACUAAAAAAGCUUGCAUCUUUAUGCACUAAUUGCAUCAAUCAACAACGAAAUCUUCCAAAAAGAUAAAUUUUUAGUAAAAAAAAAAGAAGAAGAAAUACCCGAAGAUCCACCACCGCUGGAUGAAGCCGCCAAGUAGAAGGGUUCCGUGGAGUACCUGACGAAGCACCCCGCAUUGAGAGCCUUCCCAUCGGUGGCGGGCAAGCACUUCACGGCGCUCGCCCUGGCGCUCUCCAAGCACUCCCUGCACCCGCUCGCGUUCAGCGACCUCCAACACUGCGCCAUCCCGUACACCGACACGCCCGCCGCCACGCUGGCGCUCCCCACCUGGUAAAACUUCGUCUGGUUCAGCGCCCCCGCCGUUAAGUUCGCGACCAACCUGGUCGCCGCGUCGUUGAACGCCGAAGAGUUCGUUGAGGCAUUUCCGCAAACAGAUGUAUCGUACGCGUCGGUGGCGUCCGCAGAGACGUUGUGGUCGGCGUAGCGGAGGAAGCAGCCGUCGAGGUAUAUGCGGGAGUCCGUGGCGGGGAGGCAGUGCGGGAGCUUGAGGCGGCUCUGGAAGUAGCAAAUUUGGCAGCUUGUGGGGGCGAGGUAGCCGAAGCACUGUCCGAGGCCGUACACCGUGUUCGCGCCGCCCGAGACCGCGGCGCCGAAGCCGCUCUCGGUGAUGUUCUGGAAGAUCAUCUCCAUCGUGGUCACGAAGUUCACGUCGAAUGCCUCCGGGUCCUGGGUUUGGUUGCGGCCGCAUAUGGUGUCGAAUAUGGUCGGCGUCGUGUCCCCCGCCGCCGCGGCGACGAAGAGGACGAGGACGAGGAAGAGGAUGAGGAGGUGAAGGUGCGUGGAGGAGGAAGAAUGGGAGGGUUUCAUUGGAAUCGCGUUUGGGGGAAGCGACUAAUGCGGUGGGUGGGGAGUGAUAAAAAAAUGGAAGCUUUAGAGGCGCAUUUUGGAGAAGCUGUGGAGAGAGGUGAGAGGAAGAAGAAGAAGCGGAGGGAGAAAGCAGGGUGGGUAGGAAAUCGGGCUUGAGUUAUCCGAUAAUUACAUUCCGUGCCAUCGAGUUGGUGUGGACUGUGGACAGUGGAAUGCGGACGGUCUACGGAAUACAGCCGCUGUCUCCCGUGCAAUGACGUGCUCUCACGGGAAAAGCUUAGGUCUUUGGUGGACAUGGUCUACCGUGUCAUCCGUGCACCGGACGACUAAUUAAGUCUCUAAUUAUUUUAUACUGCUGUUUAUGCCAGGAUCAGAAAUUAUUUUUGAGUAAUAAAAAAUUAUUGACAUAUAGUAUGAUACAGGCUUUAAUUGUAUUAAAUUUACAUAUCAAAAUUUGAUUUAUGUAUUGCAUGAUAAUAAUAAAAUGCAUAUAAUUCUAAAUAUUUAAUAAAUAAUUAAAAUUGAAAUAGAAGCAUCACAAAUUAGAUAAAAAAAUAUAUUAUUAUUCUUAUAUAUGUCGAAUAGAAGUAUCGCCGUGCAAAAGCCAAUAAAAAAAAAAUAAAAGCUUGGUGUAUUACAUUAUACGCAUCCAAUUGUCCCUUAUAUGUAAAAAAAAAUCUCCAAGUAAUAAAUUAUAAAUAUAUUUAUAUUAAAUUGGGAAUUUUGGAGCACAUCAUCUACCACCUUGUGUGUUUGAAAAUGGCUCCAAUUAUUUGAAAAGACCUUCUUGUUUUCUUUAGAGAAAUUGGUCUGAGAUGUGAUGCUUUUAAAAACAUUAUUAUAUUUGUAUCUUUCCAUAUGAGGAGUCCAUAUCAAAUCUGCAAUAUCGAAGUCCAUAUCAAAUAUGCAAAGACCACCGAAAGAUUAAUUUGUCACGAAACUAUUUUUUACAAUAAAAAUAUUUUACAUUGCGUACGAGAAAAUCUAGAGGAUAUGACAAAAAGGUAAGUUCAACAUAAAAAGUCAAAAUUCUCUCCCACGUGUUAUGAGUGAAAAUACCAAAACGAAACUCCAAAAUUCAUCAAUUUAUAAAAGGAGGGUACACAAACAUCCCAUAAACAAAGUUUUUUCAAUUUUUUUAAAAUAAUUUCUUAUUGUUGUGAAUUACAAAAUUAGUAGAUCUUAAGAUUUUUCUCAUCAUCUUUAGCUUGUUAACUAACCACAUAACAUAUUAUCUUGUCUUCAAAAAUUUGCAAAUAUGCUCGACUUUAUUAUUUUUUAACUUCGGAUCGAUUUGAGUUGAGAUAUUAUCUGAACAGACCAAUUAAUCUGCAGUAUUUACACUCUUACAAGUAUAGUAUCCCAAUCUUAAUCAAUUUGUAAUAGGUGUCGAAAUCGAAUUGGAUUGGUCAAUUUUGGACAUUUUGAAAAACAAAUUCGAGUCCAAAAUAAUUUGGACACUCUCCUUCUUAUUACGCCCCGAAAAUAGACCUUUUUUAAAUUUCUUCCAAAUCGGAUUUUGGCUAUUUUCUAAAAAAGUCUCUCUCAUUUACCGGUGGUGAUGAUACGGAAACUUUAUGGACCAAACGUAUCUUCUAGUCUUUAGAUUCUCGUCAUUUUGGUUUUGUCCAAAAAUAAAAAAAUCAAAACCACAUUAGGGUGUGUUUGGAUUCUUAUAAAAAUUUCUGAAAAAAAUGGUCAAGGAAAAAAAAAAAAUCUAUAUUUGAUUGCUCGCAAAAAAAAUUUUCUAAAAUUUUUUUUUAUAGUUUUCAAAUAAAUUGGCGCUUUCGUUUUCCGCUUUGUCUGAACAAAAAACAAAACUUGGAUCUGAAAAAAAAAAAAAAGAAAGAAAAGAAAAAAAAAAAGAAAAACAGCUCACAGGUGCUUUAGCAUGUGGUCCGUGAAGUGUACUUCAUCUUGUGGACCGCACGAGAGAGUCCAUCCUUAGACCUACUCUCUCUCUCUCUCAUUCAUUAUAUAAUAUAUAUAUAUAUAUAUAUAUAUAUAUAUAUAUAUAUAUAUAUAUAUAUAUAAUAUUUUAUUUAUAAAUAUUAUUUAUAAAUAUAUAGUAAUUUAUCUUAUAGUAUUAAAUAUAUAUACUAUCAUAUAUUAUAUUAUAUACUUAUUUUAUAAUAUAUUUUAAUGUAUUUUUUAUAAAUAUAAAUUAUAAUACUAAUAUAUUAUAAUAUGUUAAUUAUUAUAUAUUAAUAAUAUAUAAUAAUAUAGAGUUUCUAUUUAUAAUUUUUUUUCUUUCAACCAAAUAAUUGAAAUUUAUCUUCCUAUAAAUUAAACAUUACAGAGUGUAAAAUUAUCUUCCUCCGAAAUUUUUGUUUCGCCGAAUAUUUUUUUUUCAAAAUUUACCGUGGAACCAAAUACGCCCUUAGCUUUAGUCCAAUUAUAAUUGAUCACGUGAUCUUUAAUAGAAUUUUCCGCGGCAUUAGCAUGUCAUCAACCCAAUUGUUAGUCAAUGUUAGGAGAGAAAAAGAACAGUCCGAUCAGUUUUAUGCUUAACAUUCUAAUUAUUUUUCAGGGGUUUCUAUAGCAUUUGAUACAUGAUUUUUUUCAUUUUUUUUUGUCAUAUUUCAUGAGUUUCUAUAUAUAUAUAUAUAUAUAUAUAUAGAGAGAGAGAGAGAGAGAGAGAGAGAGAGAGAGAGAGAGAGAGAGAGAUUUUUUAAAACUGUAAUAGAAAUUUAACCCGAGUUUAAUUGAAAAUAAUUUAACGGGCACUAACAGCGAAAGUAUUUUUGAAUAAUAAAAAAAUAUACUUAUUUAAGUAUAUUUGAAACAAAAGAAAAAGUAAACGUACUUCAGAUAUUCUAGAAGCUUUUAGGGGCAUAUUUGAUAUCAUCCCUUAAUUACAUUAUCUUCGGGUGGCAAUUAGAUUAAUUGGAGAUGGUAGUCACUUUCUCCCCGCUGGCGCUGUUAUUGACGUCAACAAUGAUUGAUCAAGCAUGCAUAAUCUCCAAAUAAAUUAAGGUUUAGUAGUAAUUCAAAACUUCCACAAAAAAAAAAAAAAAAUUGGAAUCAAGCUCUGCUUGACUAAUAGAAUAACUCAAAAUUAUUCAAUUUAAACACGCCAACAAAUCAGAUUAUUCAAUAAUAACUUAAUCGGGCGAGGCAGCAAGCAACCGCGCAUGCCAAUAAAAAAAAUAAUAGUAUUAUUAGAUCAAAAAAGAGUUACAAAGUAAACAUAUACGUGCUUCUUCGAUCUCUGAUGCAAUUAUAUAAAUUAUGUCAUUGUUGAAUAAAUGUAAUCUAUGAAAUGUGCAAUUCCUUGUGAAAAGGAAAUUAAGCUUAAUGCACAUUUUCUAUAAUAAUUAUUAUAUAUUAACUUAUUGAAAUACUUUAUUGGGUCAUAUUUGGAUUUCCUUGAAAAAUAGUAUAGUUAUACUAUAGUAUAUCAGUAAGAAAAUUAUCUCAUGAAGCAUUUGUGAGAAAAAAAAAUUGACGUAAUUUUUGAAAUAUAAUUAUACUAUACUUUAAAAAAUAAUGUAAAAUUAUAAUCUACUCUAAGCUACUCUCUUGUAGUUUAUUUUAUUGACUUGAAAACUCGAAGUUCAUACAUCAACUACUCAUCCAACGCAAAAGCAAAUCUAUUUCUUCUAUUACAUUAAAGGAGGGUUGGGGGAACCUUAGGUUGACACCUGUCCCCCAACCCUCCACUUCAUUCUCUCUCUCCACACACACACACACACACACACAUAUAUAUAUAUAUAUAAUUAGUUAAUUUUAUUAAUAAAUUAUAUAACAGCUUAUUAGUAAUUAAAUUUUGAUAUGAAAAUUUAAAGUUUUGAUACUUUAAAAUUUUAAAUUUUAAAUUCUAAAUUGAAAAUUUUAAAUUCUAAAUUCUAAUUUUAACUUAUAAUAUUCAUAAUUUUAAUUUUAAAUUCUAAAUUAUAAUAAUUAAUUAAAUUAUAAUAUAAUUAAUUAAUUUUAUUAAUAAUACGCAUAAUAAAUCACGUAAUAAAAUCUAACCUGAUAGAUACAAUUUAAAUCACGUAAAAUAUCGUUGUAUAAAAAAAAUAUAGUAUUUAAAUUUUAGGAGUAAAAUUUUAGAAAUAUAGUGUAUUUCUGUGUAUAUAUAAUUAAUUUUAUUAAACAAUUUCAUUUACAAUUUUAUUUUCCUUCUAUUUAUUGAUUUUUUAAAAUUAUUUUGAUAUAUUUAUCUCAAAUCCUUUUCAUAUGUAUCUUUAUAAAAUAAAUUAUUAUAUAAAUUUACUUUGCGCAUAUAUCAAUUUUAAUGACUUUUAUUUAAAUAGAUUUAACUACUAAAUUAUUUUUAUGUAAUUUUUGUUUAAUUAAUAAUUAGACUUAUAAAACUAUAUAAAAAUAUUAAAAAAAUAAAAUUUAUUAUAAAAAUAAUUUUAUAUCCGCAGCAUCGCGCAGGUAAUUCACUAGUGUGUAACAUUAGACUAGGGAGCGUUGACUUGGUCAACUUUUUGGUCUCCCACUGUGUGCUAUAUAUGUGGACAGGAAUGUUUCAUUGUUUUCAAUAAGUCGCUUUUUAUUACGCUGAUCUAAUUAAACCUGGGGAACAAAUUCGUAAUAACAAUAAGGAUCUAAAUGUAACUAAGCUUAUUAAUUAUAUAUCAUUGUGACAUCGACUGUAUUAUUGAGUACAAUGCAAUAGUAAUUAUAUAGGGUUAAUUACGACAAAUAAGUUUGUAAACGUUUGGCAAAUUCAUUAAGUCUGAAUGUGACUGGAAUUAUUCUUUUUAUGAAUAUUCAUGGACAAAAUACACCCAGCUAAGUAAAUUUACAGUAAAUAAGUAAAAUUACUUCUUUAUCACUACCCUAUUUAAUAGGGAUGCAAAUGGAUCUUGGUUGGUGGAGCUUCCACCCCAACCCGCCCCAAAUGGGGAAGUAAGAAUAAAAAAGAUAGAAAAAUAUAAUCUUCUCUGAAACCGUCCCGAUUCGCUAAGUAAAUGAGCGGGAGGCGGAAGACCCUUUUUAUUCCUUCAAUCUAUCCCGAUUCAUCGAAAAUCCGCGAAAAAUCCGCUCCCGCCCUGAAUGUGGCAGUAAAUGAGAGUUAAAAAUAAAAUAAAAAAUAACCUGCCACGAAUCCGUCCCGUCCCGACAAGAAAUGGAGCGGGAGGUGAAAAAAUCCUCCCGCUUCCUAAUCCGUCCCAUUUGCAUCCCUACUAUUGAGUAACAAUAGAAGGAAAGAGGAAUUUGAAGAUAUGAUACAAUAGUUGUCCCAUAAAUAUAACAAGAUGCACAAAUAGAGAGAGAAUAUAUAUUCCACAAUAGAGUUUCUAAAUCAAUAAUUCUAUCUAUUAAUGAUCUACUCUAUUUGUGGUAUCUAAAAAUAAAAAUUCAUUAUUUUGUAAAGAUUACAAGGAAGUCUAAUAAAUAGAUAGGCAUAAAUUGAAACGUCAAAACUAAACGAUAUUUAAAAAAUAGAGGAUCGAGUUCUUCGAUUUAAGAGUAGAGUUAUUGAUUUCGAUCCAUAUAAUGAAUAAAAUUUUCUAUAAAAAUAUAACAAAUUUUGAUUUUUCUAGAGUGUUAGAUUAAAAAAACAUCCACAUGCACUGUUAAAAUUUGUCAAUUCUAUGGCUUUCUAAUUGCAAAGUAUAUAACGCCAAUAAAAUCAUUAAAUUUGAUCUAUAAAAUAUUUGUAUGCAUUAAAUUAUAUUUAACGAUAUGUACCGUCAAUUAAAAAAAAUUAUUUUUAAAAAUGAUAUAUAAAUACAAUCCAUAUAUAUAUAUAUAGAGAGAGAGAGAGAGAGAGAGAGAGAGAGGGGUAGGGAAUCCCAUUGGGGGUGCUUUAAUUAGGAGCACCGAAAUGUUGGUAUUAGUACAGUGUUUUUGAUCAUUAGAUCAAUCAUAGCAGCUCUUGGAUUGAUCGUACAUAAUAAUAGAUCACACAGUAAUCACUUUUAUUGACUUUUAAUUCAGUGGCCGAAAGAAUAAAUCUAAAAAUUUGAAAAAUAUAGACAUCAAAUGUUCGUGCAUUUAGAAAUAUUUUUUUUAUAUAAACUGAGACAGAGGAAUUGAAGAUGCGACAUUGCCAUAUUGGUAAUUUGGUAUUGCACAGCAGCUCAAUGUCUCAUAAAUGGGCCCCCAAAAGCACUUUAUUAUCGCUGUGAAGUGUGAACUCAUGUGCCAAUUGAAGACCCGACCCACCCACUACUUACGGGACACGCGUUACGGAGAGUAGGUAUGCAGUGUUAAUGAGCCCAACAUUUACGCACUUCAAGUUUUUUAAGGUUGAUUGCGAUUUAAAGUGGUGGCAUUCGGUAGGUUUCGACGCCUUAUUGCUCGAUGCACGCCCAAUAAAUGCGCGACAAUGGACGAGCAAAUGUAAAGUCAAAUUUAGUAGGUUUUAGUUCGUAUUUUGGUUGCCAUUUGAGAGUGAUCACAACGACGUAUACCUCGCAGAAGAAAAAGAAGAUGAAGUAGUACUAUUUCUGAAACAUUACAUCUCCUGAUAACUCCAGUUUAGAAUUAAUAAAUAAAUAAGUAGUAGUUUAGCUGAUUCGAUAAAGAAUUUCCAUGGAGUCACUGUCAUUAAUUGUCUCCAUUAAAGUCGGCCGCCACCGCCAUCCUCUAUUGUCUACCAUUGCUGUCGUCAUCUCCCGUGUAAAACUCAAAAGUAAUGUAGUGACUGUGCUUAAUGCUGGUGGUUAAAGCGCUGAAUAGUUGACACAUGAUGCAACUAUUUGACUCACUAGCAAUAAUAAUUUGUUGGUGGGUCAGGUAAUUAUAAUUAGUAUCAGAACUGAAUAUCAGCAGGAAGUGUAAGAGUUACGUACUAUGUGGGAUAAAGUGCCACACCAACGAAUUUGGUGGGAGCCACUUCUGAAAUCUCACAUUACCAGUAAUUCUAUCCUGUAUCUGUGAUUUGGUUUAAAUUCAACAAGAACGUCAUGAUCUAAACAUGAAAAGUUUGUAAUACCACAAUAAUACCAUAUCGGAUGAAAAAAUGAGAAUAUAUAAGACCUAAACGCUAGUAAUAAAAAUCGAGUUUAAGUAUUUUAGGCCAAUGGUUUGAGUCUAACAAGUUAUUAUUGUUAGAAUGUCUGGCCGUUACACCUGAAAUCUCAAGUUCAAAGUCCAAUAGCUUUAUAUUUUUAGCUAACUUAAUUAUUUUUAAAUAAACCCUCUCAAAUAUAGCCACUUGAGCAAGUAUAGCCACUCGAGUUACUCAAGUUCCUUAUCUAGGAUUUGAUAUUGCACUAAUACUAUGCCUGUACCAAUCACGCAAUUGGCUCGUUGUGAUUAUUUUUUAAAAUUUAUAGUGAUUUGGAUGCCAAUGCUUCAUCAAUUUAAUCAAAAUGGUUUAUGAACUUAAGGAAACUUGCCUAAUCAAGUCUCUCACACCAAAUCGUAAUUAUUUUGCAAAGAAUAACGCUUUCCAAAAAAACGCUAUAUUUCUAAAACUUAUGGGUCUGUUUUGUCUAAAUUGUGAUAUUUAAAGGAGGGUUUAUGUCCGAGAAUCCGAAAAAAGCUGAACCACUAAAUUAAUUAUCAUAUUUAUUUAUUAUCAUUUUUUAAUUCAAUUACAAUGCAGUGGCCCAACAAGUGUCUUAGCCCAAAACAAAUUUGGGCCCAUGAAAUAAUGAGCCUACGAAAUCAUUAAUGGGCCUCAAUUAUAAAAGUUUCGGCCCAUUUAUUUUUCACCAAGCCCAUUGUCUUUUUCGAAGCAUCGAGAAGGGGAGAGAGAGAGAGAGAGAAAGAGAGAGAGAGAGAGAGAGAGAGGUCGUCCCGCGCCAUUGCUUCGUCUUCAUCUCCCUCUACAUCUUUCUCUCUGUUAAGCCUCUUCUCUUAUCCCUCAUCGGUCUCCUCCGAUUCCUCUCCUCUUGAUCAAUUUCUCUUUUAUUUGUUUAUUUAAUUGCUGUUUGUAGUUGCUCUCCGUAAUCCAUGUCCUCGAGUAAGCCCGAUCGAGAUCGGUCCCUGGUAAAACCCUACUUCGAACUAUUCUUUUUUUAUUUUGAUUUUUUUAAAAAACUUUUCUGAUGAGUUAUGAUUUCAAUUUUAAGCAUGCCGAUAAAGAGAUUUGUGAGGUUAGGUAAUUUAUUAUGUAUAUUUUUUAUUUUUUAUUUUUGUUUGAAGGAGGUUGAAGGGUUUUUGAACGAACUACAGGGAUGGAACAACUUGUUCAAGGAUAAAAAUCAGAAAUUGAAAACUCAGGCACGCAACGACAGUUACUUCGUUUUUUUUCCCUUGAUUUUUGUUUAUUUUUUGUUUUCUUUAACUCACUCAACUUUUCAAUUUCCAAGUAAUGUGUGCACUUACGUUUGUUGUAAUUUGAAUGAGAUAUGACAUCAGGAGAUUCUUUUUUAAUUCUUAUGACUUACAUGCUUGGUGCUCAAAAUCGAGACGUAUUGCAUAAUUGGCUUAGGAUGCUACAACAAGAUGUGAAUUAACUCUAUAGCGUUUUGCUUGCAAAGAGAUUUUUCUAUCAGAACAUGCACUGCUGCACCGGUAUCCAUGCGUGAAAAUGCUUUUACUUCACGAAAGGCUGAUUUUUGUUAUUCUUUGUCAACAGUACAGGGAAUGUUACUAUUCUUAUGGUUAUUCCGAGAGUAAUUUGCUGUUGUUCUCUUUGAAGGGGUCUUUACAAAACUCUGGAAAGAGUCAAGAAGAAAAAGGACCUCCUAAAAAAGUUCCUGCAGUUGAAUCGAACACUAAGAGUAAUGUAGCUUCUGAUUUUCCUGCAAAAAAUCCCAACGAACGAUAUAACUACUCGAAGUAUUCUGCUUUUUUGAAUGAGGAGACAUUACCUGAUGCAACCUCAGAGAAAGAGCUGGUGAGGAUUUGUAGCCUCUGAUUGUUAGUUUUUAUGUACAUUAUACGAAUCUUCUGGUGGUAAAUUGGCUUCUUUUACCAUUUCUUUUAUUGCAGGGAAAUGAGUAUUUUAAACAAAAAAAAUUUGCUGAAGCAAUUGAUUGCUACUCGCGAAGUAUUGCAUUGUCUCCCACAUCCGUUGCUUUUGCCAAUAGAGCUAUGGCAUAUCUCAAACUCAGGAGGCAUGUUGCUUUAUGGCAAUCCCUUGUUUGUAAUCAGUAAAUUUUGAAUUUAGGUGAUUGAUCUUUUUCCGAUGUAAAUUAUACUUUUAUUUAUUAGAUUUAUUCUUGUUUAUUAGAUUGGAGGAGGCGGAGAAUGACUGCACUGAAGCCUUGAAUUUGGAUGAUCGCUAUGUUAAAGCAUACUCACGUCGAGCAACAGCUAGGAAAGAACUUGGCAAACUUAAGCAAUCAAUGGAAGGUAUUCCAUUUCUCAUUCUUAACAAUAUCUUAUAUUUUGAAGCUCAAUUUUUGUAGAUUAACUUUACCAUUUUCGGAAAUACUGAUAACUAAUUUCUAUGUGUAGAUUCUGAAUUUGCCAUAAGACUUGAGCCUAACAAUCAAGAGCUCAAGAAGCAGUAUGCUGAAACAAAAGCUUUGUAUGACCAGGUGAUUGUCUGUCAUUUCCAGUGGAACCAUCCGAGUUGAUUUUAUCAGAUUUUAUUAAUAUAAGUAUCUCAAAAAAAGGGGAAUCAUUGUACUCAUUUCAUCAUUUCUUAAGUGUUGGUGUUGGCCAAUAUACCUUUUAAAAGAACGAGCUAAUUUAGCGACAGAGAGAUAUAACAGUUGUGCUGCUAUUACUAUCAUAUAUGCGUAUAUUGUCAUUUGAGUUAAUCAUGAAUAUCAUACAUUUGUUGAUCAAGGUAGAAACAACUAUCUUUUCUUGCGUCCAAUAUUGUAGUUUAAGUAUUUCUGUAUCAAUUGUGUUGUUGGUUUAUAAUGUCAACUUUAUUGAUGCAGGAAAUGGCCAAGAAGGUUUCUCAAUCCUUAAAGCCUUCUGUUUCGGAAAUUCAAAAAGCAGACAAUUUAGCCACAUAUAAGGCCCAAAAGACAGCUGCGACUGCAAAAAAAACUGUCAACAUGGUAGCUUUGAAAUGAUCUCUACAGUUUGUUCAUAUGAGUUCUAAAAUUGAUGCCUGUAAUAUGUGUUCUCUAUCACGAGUAAUUAAUGAAAUGCAUCAAAGGAAACUGACUUAAGUAAGAUAAUAUGGGUAAACUUUGCGUGUCUGUUGACUUUCAUAUUGCAGCUUUAAGGAAUAUAAGAGACUAUUUUCUCUUUUAUUUGCUUAUGAGAUUAAUUGAAUUUACAUGCCUUUUUCAGAACAGCAGCAUGGAAAUUGAUGAUUCGCCUUUGGUUGCUGUAAAUGAUACAGAAAGAGAAGCUUCAAAAGCUCCUGCAGAAACCAGAGAGAAUUUAUUUGAUAGAUCAAAAGGAGGCGGAUCGAGUUCCGCAGAUGCUAGUAUGAAGGUGUACACCAGGGACUUUUUUUUUUUCCCCCCUUCAUAUAUAAAGGAUAAAAGAAAUCUCUGAUUCUUUAUUGGGAUUACUAUUUCUUCUUCAAGCAAAAUAUAAUAUUUGAAGAUCACCUAUUGUAGAUGGAGACAUCUAAAAUUAAUGAAUCUUAACAGAAUUUUAGACAACUUAAAGCACAGAAAACCUAAGGCACGAGGGAAUAUCUUUUCAAAAGUAUUUCAAAUAUUCUUUAUUGACCUUUAAGAUGUUAGAUCAUGGCUAACUGUCUCACUUUCAAGUUUCUUGCACACCAUUAUGUCGCCAUAUUAUUUGCUGUCAGCUAGCCGGAGUGAAAUAAUACUAUGAUUUUGUUUAGUUGCACCAGAAUUGUAAAGUCGCAAAGCAUUCACUCUUAUUUCUCAUCCGGUAAAUUUUGUUUUAUAUUUAGGGGGGAAAAAGUCCCUAUACUUUAUGGUGCUUUUUCUAAUAUUGAAUUAUGCAAGCAGGGGACUCGGGUUUCUAGUCGGAAAGACGAGUUAAAACCAUCAAUGCAGGAUCUUGCAUCUCGUGCUUCUUCAUUAGCUUUGGCUAAUUCUUCUAAAAGUAUCACUGCUCCAAAAUCAGCUUAUGAAUUCGAGGUUUCCUGGAGGGCACUCUCUGAUGACUGUGGUCAGCAAGCUCAGCUGUUGAAGGUUUGCAUAUUAGCCUUUUAUGUGCUUUGUGGGUAAUUUUAAUUAGAAAGCACCCUCAAUUCGUUCCCUGUUUCAACUUUGGACCAGGCAAUCCCACCAUCUACUCUACCUCAAAUAUUUAAAAAUGCACUUUCCGCACCCAUUCUGAUAGAUAUCAUCAAAUGCACUGCCACAUUUUUUAGGUAUGCCUUUUAUGCUCUAUUCUGCUAUAUUAUAAAAGUUCACUUACUGUAGUUUUAUUUACAUGUAUAUCGCUGUUCAAUAUGAAUUUUCUCUCUACCCUACAAGAUUGCAGUUUUUUCACGGAAGUACCCUUAAAUUGGGGAAUCAUCCAAUUCAUGGAAAAAUUUGUUAUCGUAUUAGAAACAGUUUUUAAUAGAGGGACAUUUCUAUCAUUAUAAGAGUAUCUAUUUAGAAAUUAAGUUAUUGAAAAGAGUUGGGUUUUUUUGUAGCUUACACAAAAGUAUUUAUGGGGUGACAAUUUUGCGGGGAUAUAUUUUAUAUGCCUAUAAUGUACUUGCAUAUUAACCUCUCUUUUUUUUUUUUUGGUAUGUAGGGAGGAUACAGAAUUCGCAGUUAGCAUAUUGGAUAAUUUGGUCAAAGUUCCACGUUUUGAUAUGAUAGUCAUGUGCCUUUCAGCUAAGCAGCGAUCUGGUAUGGACUAUGGAACCUUUGUUUUGUUACCUAUUGUUCUUGAGAUGCUGGCUACUUAAUACUUGUUUACACUUUCCAUAUCUGGAUAAUUUGUGAUACAUUGUUAGUGUAUGAAUAUUCUUUCAUAGUUUAUAGUUUUUCUAUUUUAUGUAUAUAAGAUGACAAAUAUUUGAAACAGCAUCAAUUAUGUCAGUUCUGUCGAUGAAUAAAAUAGCAAGUGUAAAUAGCAAUGAGAUAAAGCAUAGUGACCCUUGGAUAAAAACUAUGGAAGAUUUGCUGUGUUCUCAAUAAAAUAAGAAAGAGAGAUAUUUGCUGUGAUCAAUUUUGUAAGCAAAAUUCUUGGAAAAAGGAACAUAGGGCAUAGAAAUAAUGGAGUUGAGUAGUAUAGAGAUGCUUCUCUUCUUGAUAAUGGUGUCAACUAUUAACUCAAAGAGAGUUCUUUAUUGUCAGGAAAGUCAUAGAAAAUGAACUAGCAAAUAUUUUUGUUUGUUUGUCCAUUUAGCUGUAAGAAUUGCUUCACAUAAAACAUUGAAAUAUGUGGCUAAAAUUAAUUUAUGUUUGAUGUAGGUAAAUAUUUCAAUGAAGAGAUUAAUAAAAAAACUUUCUUGAUAUUCAUGUUGUUAGCAGAACUUCGGCGCAUUUGGGAGGAAGUGUUCUCUAUCAAGGACAUAGCAGCACGACAGAUUGAAGCCAUAAAUCGGCUCCGACUGAAAUACUGUGGCGAGGAAUCGUAGGAUCAAAUGUUUAUCAAAUGGAUGGCCCAAAGAAAUGUAGUUGUUCUAUGUAUUAGUUUUUUCGCCUCUUUUUUUUUUUUUUUCGGGGAUUUGGGGUGGGGGGGAGAGGCAGACCUUUUUCGGUCUUUUAAGCCAAUCCAGAAUCUUAUGUGGAAGAGAGGAUUUGAGUUUUGUAUAUUCCUUACUAUGCUGUAUUCUAGUUCAUAUGGUAGUUUAAGGUUAGAAAGGUUCCUUUAUUUGAAGGGGUGAGCUUCUUAACUUUGUUCUCAUUACUAUUCACCAUAAAAUUUUGAAAUCUUUUAAUUUUCUACCUGAGCAUUCAAUUAGCAGUUUGAACUUUUUAUCAAGUCUUUACAAGCUUUGACUGGAUCUCUAAUUUUUUUGAAUCUCUUUUGCAAAAGAAAAAAAAGGAAGAGAGAGAAGUGUCUGAUGGCUUCCUGGUUGCUCCAUGUCCUUUCUCUACAAAGCUCCCUGUCUGUGGUGUUGGCAGCAAGCACAUCAGUAUUUCGAUUGCUUUGUCCUGAAUAUGAGUGUUGCUUACACUAUCCUUGUGUUUGUCUGUUUAUUCUCCCUAUGUUUCUGGUAAGUAACUAUCAAACAAGAUAAACAGAAUGUGCCAUUUUGUAUGCUGUUGUUAUUAUAACCAUCUGUAACCUUAAUUACUAAUUUAUUAUAUCUAAUGAAGCCGCAGUAUUCUUGACUUUGCCGAACUUUGCUUAUUAAUCAUUUUGUCAUCAAGAUGUCAUGCCAGGUAUGUACGUGUAAAUAGAUGAUUUUACAGGGAUACUUUCGUAUGUGAAAGCCGCUCUUUUUGUUACAUGAUUGACUUGCUUUAUCUAGAAUCAAUCGAUCAGGAGGCCCUUUUUAAGCUUUUGUGGGAAGCCAUUAAGUAAACGACAAUAUAAUACCUAUUAUAUUAGUAAGAAACUAUGUCUUAUGUUGUUGAUCUUGUCAUGGAUUCCCCAAGAUUUUUGUCUUUGCUUUCCUUGUUUGAUACCCUUCACAUGUAACUUUUGUCACCAAAGAUCCAUCCUUUGGAUCAUUCAUAUCUCUUAACUCGGUAUAUACAGACCAUUCUCGUACACACUUUAAACUGAUGAUCUUUGAAUCAAGUUUGGUUCCAAGAUGUUGAGUUCUAUAAUCUCAAUCAAUGGCAUCGAUUAUCUUACUGAUCAGGAAAAAUAUCACCUUCUUCAGGAACCCGAAUUUGUCACAGCAGAAGAUGUGGGUGGAUUUGAUGAUCUCUGGUCCAGCUAUGGGUUCUACAAUGAGGGUUGCUUCGAAAAGGGAGCUCCUUUGGUGCUUAAUGAUCAGCAGCUGUUCUCGGACUUUGCGUUCAUGGACGACAUGCAUUUUGAUUCAAUUUCUUCAGCGAUUUCUGUUGCAGCGGAAACAGACCAGCCUGCGUCGAACUCUGAACUUCUGCAGUUGGACGAGAAGAGCACACCGCCUCUUCCCUCAAAAACGUCAGAGCUUUUGAGCAAAUACCAAUUUAAAUUCAAUGCGAGGAGUGGAGAAAAGCCUAAUGAGUCGAUCGAGAGGGGAGGAAGCAAACUGUCGACCGAAGAUUUCAUGCGGAUUGCUGCUUCUUUCUUCAUUCAACUGUCAACACACAAGGAUUGCAAUCCUUUUAUGCUUAAUAAUCAAUUCGGCUUAUCGUUUUCAGGGCUUAGUUCUGCGGAGAUUAUGAAUGUAGAGCUCGCGAUUCUUCUUUUUUCCGCCGCUGAGAAGGUAAGCCAACAGCGAUUCGAUCACGGUACCAAUUUAAUCAAGGAAUGUUACAAACUGUGCUCAAAAACAGGAAAUUCGGUUCAAAGAGUAGUUUACUAUUUCGCAGAUGCACUACAAGAGAGGAUCCACGGGGGAAAGGGUACUGUUGUAAAAGCACAAGAAGUAAUGAAAGCAUUAUUAAGUAAUCACCCGGUUCAUCUAGCUACCUUUAGAAGCCUCCCCCUUGAGCAGAUCAUGCAGUUCACUUCAGUUCAAACCAUUUUGGACAAUUUGGGUUCAGCAAAGAAAAUCCAUCUAAUCGAUCUCUCGAUCAAGCACGGACUGCAAUGGACAAUCCUGAUGCAAGCCUUGUCGAACUCGAGUUCGGUCGAUUAUGUCAAGAUCAGUGCUGUUGGGACUUCAGAGGAGGAGAUCACUUCGACCGGUAAGCGCUUAACAAGUUUUGCUGAGAUCCUAAAGUUACCAUUUGUGUUCAAACCGGUAAUAGUUUCGGACAUCAAGGAACUCAAGGAAGAUAUGUUUAAGAUAGAAGAGACAGAAACAAUUGCCUUAUACUCUUCAAUGGACAUGAACACCAUGAUCAUAAAGCCUGAUAGGCUCGAGAACGUAAUGAAGGUGAUAAGGAACCUGAGACCGCAAAUUGUGACGGUUGUGGACGUGGAGGCGAAGCAUAAUUCGCGAUCGUUCAUUAACCGGUUCACCGAAGCAUUGUUUUACUUCAGCGCGUUCUUCGACUGCUUAGAGAAUUGUAUGAGAGGGGACGAGAGAGUGAGGAUGAUAGUAGAAGAGGACUUCUUCUCGCCGGGAAUUAGUAGUAUUGUUGCAGCUGAGGGGAGUGAGAGAGUGAUUAGGCAAGUAGGGAUUGAUGUGUGGAGGUUGUUCUUUGCUAGGUAUGGGCUUGUGGAGGCUGAGCUUAAUCAGUGGUCAGUGUAUCAGGCUAGCUUGUUGGUAAAGCACUUUGCCUGUGGGGAGUCAUACAGCUUUGAGGUGAAUGGGAAAGCACUUCUUGUUGGGUGGAAGGGGACUCCAUUGCAUUUUAUUUCUGCUUGGAAGUUCCAAUAAGCUACUCCAAUUUUACAGCCAGGAUUUUCUUUCCCUUUCCUUUUCUUUUCUUUUUUUCUUCAUCUUUGCUGGAAUAUGAAAUUAAUGUCUUGAAAUAGAAUUCUUGUGAUGUUCUUUUAUAUACCUGAACUCUGCAACUCAAGUUUACCAGUUUCUCGAGAUUUAUUUGCAGUAAUUGGACAAUGAAUCCACAGAUGUUAUGUUUUAUUACUGUUGUUGUUGUUAUUACUAUUAUUAUUAUUAUUAUUAUUAUUAUUAUUAAAUGUGAUUUCAUCUAAUUAUAUUACAAUGGUUGCUCCUUACUCUCUAUUGUGGCAAAAAGCUUCAUUUGAUUAUAAAAAUCUAGAGUGAGUAUGUACAUAGUUUUCAUUGCAUGCUUCUGGGAUGAAAAUUUUGGUAGUCAUGUGCUUUUCAGAAAAGAAAAAAAAUAAUUCAGAGAUGUGCAUUUGUCGCAUUUAGAAUCGAAAUCAGAAUGACAUUUUCGACGGUUAAAAGCAAAAGUCUCCAUCUUUGAAACUGUUUUUAGCUUUUUAUUAUAGAAAGUCAUAGGUCCCAUAGAAUUUUUUUUCCCCAAUAUUUAAAAGAUUAUUUAUGGACCUAAAAUAAGUUAUUUGAGUUAAUGAGUUAUUUACUCAUAUAAUUUAUUUGUAUUUUUUUUUCAAAAAAAAAAAAGCGAUCCACAAAGCACAUUUACCAGAAACUUUAGAUGGGCCCGAAAGGCCCAUAUAGUUUGGGCCGAAUGUAUUAAAUCUUGCCGGCCCAGCCCAGCGCACCCUCCGAGUACUACUCUGAAGACAUCAUCUCAGCCGUUGAUUUAUCUGCAAUUUGCAUCUCUAGCCGUUCAUCACCUCUAUCUAAUCACAACACACCAAAACGGGAGACGCGUUUGGUUCGGCUAUAAGUUAAAACUACUUAUUUCAGAGAUAAGUACAAAUUCAGGUAUAAAUAGAAAUUAUAUCAAUUUUACGUUUGGAUGAAAAUUAGGUUAUUUCUGAGAAUAAGAUAAAUAGUAUUUAGAUUAUUAGAUUAGAACAUUAGGAAUAAGUGUUAUAAUUUUAAAUUAAAAUUAUUUUAUUUAAUUAAUUAACAUCAAAAUAUUAAAAUAAUUUAAUAAAUUAAUAAAUUUAUUAGCUAUGAUAUUGUGUAAGAUAAUGAAAAUAUAAAAAUAAUUUAACUUUUUAAUUAGUUAGUUAAUUAUUUUAAUUAGAUAACUAGUAAAAAAAAAUAAUUAGGUUAAUAAAAAUAUUAAUGGUUGAUCAAUAUAAAUAUUAGUUUAUAAAUAAAUAUAUUAAAUUAUUAAUAAUUAAUUAGCUAAUUAAUUAUAAAUAAUAAAAUAAUUAAUUACUUUAUUAUUUAAGUAAUAAAUAAUAAUUUAAAUAUACUGUCUAAACGCCUAAUACAAAAAGCCCCUCACGUGCAACUCACGUGCCGAACUCUCUCGAACCGAUUUCCGUAAUUUCCUGCACCACAGAGGUUUUCUUUUAAUUUUUUUUUUUUUAAAUUACAGUUUCCUCUGCUUUGUGCUUGCGCCCCGGGACAAAUCGCGAAGGAGUAAAAAAAAAAAAGGAAAAGCGCUUCGCUUCCGAGCAUCAGGUCGAUUUUUCCAUUUCCCGAUCCAUAUUAUUAUAUUUUUUCUCCUAAUAUUUAUUUUUUAAAUCCAAUUUCCUCUAUUCUUUUUCCACUGCUUCUAUUUUUUGCAAUUUUUUUAAUAAUUUUUUGUUGUUGUUCUAUUCGGGUGAUUCGGUGUGGCUAACUCUCUUAAAUCUCGUACUGCAUCUCCACUAUUUUUGUUGUAUUUUUUUUGUUCAAAAUUUUAUUUGCCUUUUUGAUAAUGUUGUAGUUCUUAGGAUCGUAGAUCUGAACGUGUUUAAUCGAUUGGGAUUGAAUUAAUUGCGUUCGAUCGAUUGGGAUAUACGUGAGGCAAGGUAUAGUAAUCUUAUUACUCGGAAUAUUGUUUUUGUAUUUAUGGAUUUUUUGUUAAAUGUAGAAGCACUAGUUAUAUGCAGAGAUGCUACCUUUUCCUCGCAAACACACACAAAAGAGAGAGAGAGAAGAGUAUUGAGACCCUCUUAAAUAGGUCAUUUAGAAAUAGGCCCUUGAACUAUAUUUUCUUUGAUCAGAGCUGCUAAGUUUUUAUGUUUUGAUUUAUUAUUCGAGUUAUCUGAGUUCAUUGGAAUCACUGUAUCCAUUGAAUUUCACGGCACUAACUACUUUUCAGAUAAAGGAAUUAUGGAUUGCGUUACUAAAUAAUAACCAAUAGCUUGUGAAGCCAUUAAUUUUAAUAAAAUUUGUAAAUAAUUCGAACCAAAACAAGUGAAAAUUGAGGGGACGAGUUCAGGGUUAUAUCGUAUUUGGACAUGUCGAUAAGAGCUAUGUUGUUUGGGUAUGGAAAUGGAGUCUUUUGUAGUCUGAGAAGAACAUAUCAGAGUUAAAUGCAAUGUUCAUUUGGUGAUUUUCUUGUUGUUGUUCAUAAAAGAGGAUAUUCUUCUAAAGAUCACAAAGUGCAUUUCCUAACUUGUUAUUUUUAAAUGUCGUUAAUGGUAAAAUUUUAUGCCCUUGUCAUAGUUAGAUGUUUGUGAGCGUUAACUCACUUUAUGUAAAGUAGAAUCAUUCAUUUCAUUUAAUCAACUGACAUAACCAAUAAAAAUUAUUUUUGAUUCAUAGAGUAUUUAUAUGAAAGAGUUUUUUGUAGGAAAAAAGUUUUUUUUUUCUUUCUUGGAACUUAUGUAUUACAUGGAAGGGGUGAGGAAUAAAAUUGAUGUUGAGUGUUGCUUCGGUUAAUAUAUUCAGUGUAUACUCACAGAGUUCUUUUAGAUGCAGCUAUAUGUUUUUCUUCUUUGUUUCCUUUUCUUUUUUAUCAGUGCCUUAUUGGCAGGGUCUGCGAUAGAUCAGAACUAGUUGCCUUGCUAUCAUGUAUUGGAGAUGAUGAGGUGGUAAACUACUAACUUCAUCCCCUUAACUUGGUGAUUUGCGACUUGGUAAUCAGCUUAUGUAGACGGGAAAAUUUUGUUGCCGACAUCAGACAAUCAAAUAUUUUGUCUGACAUGCAUGAAGGCAGUUAUUACCAGAAAUGCGUCAUGCAUGUAAGGAUUACAGAAACUAAAUGUGAUACAUUUUAUGGUGCUAUCUCUUCUUUCCUGUGUGCUGGACAAAGGGCCUUUCGGAGGCAUUGGAAUCUUGGCCCGAGCGAAGGUCUGCAGACGCUUGUUAAAACUGUGGAUCUCAGUCCCAUAUGGAAGUGUUUGUGGAGCACUUCAAAGUUCAAACUGUUUAAUUCGGUGUGUUUGCGUAUAGUUUAUUUAUACAUCAGAUUGGGUAUAUACAAAGCAAUCAACAUGCCAAUGGGCCUUGAAGCAGUAGGUAUCAAUUUUAGGCUUGUGAAACAGCUGUAAGGCUAGCUAAGAUAGCACUUGCUUAGAAAAUCAUGCGGCUUAAUAUGUAUCCACUUUCAGAAUGAGAAUCCAGGGGCUAAACAUCUUGGUUAAACAAUUCCGUUUGUAGGUUAGAUGAGAGAUGAAUUCAUUCAGAAUAUGCAUAACUGGAUAUCCGUUGCCUGAAUAUUUAAGAUAUUAGUACUUUGUGGUUAGAUAAUUCGAUUUUACUUAAUUUCUGCUGUAUGAACCAUUUAUGUGUCAGCGGGGUUUGAUGAAUGGUUGCUCGUAUUACCUACUAUAACCUAAACCCAAGCGAUCCCUCAUAAUUUAUUGCAUAUAAACCUGUUGAUCUGACCCUCUACCUCUGAUAAAUUAUCUAUCUUGUUCAUUAUUUUUCGUUGUGUUUUGCCAUAUUUUAGGUGGAAAAGAAGGAUCUAAUGGCCGCACACAAGAUUGCUCAUGCCACCCUGAAGGGGCCCAGCGUCGUGAAGGAGAUCUGCAUCGGACUAACGCUAGGGCUUUUCGCAGGCAGCCUGUGGAAGAUGCAUCACUGGAACGAACAGAGGAAGACGAGGGCUUUCUAUGAUAUGCUGGAAAAGGGCGAGAUCAGUGUCGUUGUUGCCGAAGAAUAAAAUAAUUCUUUCUUCUAUGUGACAUUCUCCCUGUUUAGAAUCCAUGCAAGGGUCAGUUGGAAUUUCAUCAGUUUGUAAUAAGCUUAGACAUUUUCACGUGCACAAAUUGCUCAUUUUUCAUUGAUGAUUCGCUCGUUGUAUGUAGUUCUAUCAAUGCAUAAUUUUUGGAAUGUGGGCUUGUUUUGGUUUUAAACUUGUGAAGAAGAGAAUCGGGUGAAUCAUUCAAUUGUUAUAGAGUUUCUACUUAAAUUCAUUUACGAAGUUUUUCAUGUUAAAAAAAUUUUGUGCAUGGUUUCUGCUAUCAACAUCCAAAACAUGUUGGUUAUCUAUGGACCUCAUAAUCCGAAAAAAAUUACGUUGUAGUCGUGCUAGAUCAAAGCUCGUUUUUAAGCUCAAAUUAAUGGUGUUUCCUUACAAAAGAUGGCAUGAUUAUUUAUUUGCAAUAAGACUAAAAAGAUCCUUUUGUAGCCAAAAGCUCAAAAGAGUUAAUGUCUCUUUUAUGGAAAAGGCCAUCAAUUAAAAAUUUAUUUCGUGAUCAAAUAAAUGAUAAAGAUCACCUGUGAUAUCUUACUUUGUGGCCUUAGCCUAGAUUCGAGCCAAUCACUUGUUGGACCCAUUCAUGCAUUUCUCAUAUUUUUGUGAGCCUACCCAAAGCUUCCUUUUUAAUUUCCUAGUGAAACAGAGAUGCCCAUGCAAAACACCUCUUUUGCAUUUAAGGAAAAAGGUGAAACAAAAGCCAAUUCUCAUAAUCUUAUAUAAUAACUAUGUUAAUUUUUUAUUAGAGUUAACCCUUUUUCGACAUUUGGAAUUAAGACCUGGGACUAAAAUGCAUCUUUAACUUUCUAGUCAUGCAUGGAUUCCUUGUCUCUUUUUUGGGUAACAAAGCUUUGUUUCACCACUACUUAUUCUCUAAUUAAUAAGCAAUUUUUAUGCACACCACCAUUAAUGGAGGUGGAAAAGGCUAAGCAAAUCACUAUGUCAUUUAACAUCUAGUUCAAAUAAUUAAAAUCUAUUAUGUCGUAUAAUUAAUUAACUUCCUCAUAUGAAAAUAAAAUGGCGAAUAAAGUCAUAUAUUUGAAGGAAAAGAACUUCAGUAAAAAACUUUCCAAAGGCGUCUAAAACUGAAUGAACUAUUAUACUUAAAAAAGAUCUAAGCACCUAGUUUAAGAGCUAAUUUUACACUUAAUCCAAAUUCUAAUUAAAAAGUUAUUUUUGUAAGUACGAAGGGCGCACUAUAAAUAUUAGUAGGUACUCUAAUUGAAAUUAGCAAAUAUUUGAGAGCAUCAAAAAGUUUCAUUUUACGAUAAGGUAGCCUAUAGUUUUCGGAACUUGUAGACCUAAUACCUUUUUAUAUCUUACUUAUUCUCUUAUGAUAACAUAAAAAAAAUUAAACAAUGCAUAAACUUCACUUUCGUAUCUUCAUCAACUCCUAAUUUAUUAAUUUUUUUUUUUGCAAUCACACUAAGCUUGCUUUAAUUUAAUAAUAAUGCAUGCACUUUAAAGUUCCCAGAAGAGAGAGAGAGAGAGAGAGAGAGAGAGAGAGAGAGAGAGAGAGAGAGAGAGAGAGGGGGGGGAGAGACCAAAUGAUAAGUGUUGUGAUUCAAUGAAAACCAAAAGAUUGGUAUUGAACAAAAAUAAAUAAAUAAAUAAAUAAUAAAAUGAGACACGUCAAAAAGAGAAUCCGAGAUAUGUGUGUCGCCUAUAAACAGUAUAGUCAAGAGGGGAGGCACACGCACGUGUGAACAGUACUUAACCACAUUGGUCUCGACCCGGCGCACGAAUCUCGAGGCAAGCUGUGAUCUUCACUCUUUUUAUAGCUUAACUAGUGGAGUUACCCGUGCAUUGCGACGGGCUAAUAUUAUAGAAGAUAAAAAAUUGACAAAAUUAAAAUUUUAAAAUUUUUUAACUUAGAUAUAUACAAAUGUGGCAAAAGUUAUAACAACAAAUAAAUUAUAUAUAACAAUAAUAAAAGUUACAACAGUAAAUAGAUAUAUAUAUUUUUUUAACGAUUUGUUUAGAUAAAAAUAAAUCAUAUAAAUAUAUUAAUUAGAAAGUGGGCGGAUGGGAAGACGAAACAUUAAAUAGAGAUGAGAUGGGAAGGCGAAGCAUCAAAGAGUGUGGAGAGGGGGUGAAGGAGGAAUUGCCAUGUGGCAAUUUCCAUGAGAAAUAAUGUAUAGGAAUAGAUUACUUAAUUGAUGUAUUUAUUUAUUUUCUUGUGUUUUUAUUUUUAUUCUUGUUAUAUUUUAAUUUACGAUUAAUUUCAUACAAAUCUCUAUAAAUAUAGUAAAAUAUAAAUAUAUUUCUAUAAAAUUUAAUUUUUAUAUAUUAUUUUUAUAAAAAUCAUGUUUCUAUCGUUACAAUCCGUUAGAAAAUUUUAGUUAUCUAUGAGUUAAAUACUGAAUUCUUAUUAGUUUAUAAAAUAACUUGAUAUAUUUGUCUCUCUUAUAUUAUACUCUUUGAGUUUCGGAGAGACAUAUUUAUAAUGACAAAAUUAAUAUUUCAUGUAAAAUAUAAGCAGUUCAAUAACAGUAAUAAAUCAGAAGAAUAUAUUUAAAAAUAUUCAUAAUUUUUAUAAAGAUAAUAUAUAAAAGUUGAAGUUUAUAGUAAUAUAUUUGUAAUUUACUGUGUGUUUACUGAGACAUGUAUGUAUUUAACCCUUCAAUUUAUGUAAGAUUAGUGCAUGUUCUCUGGUUGUACGGAGGGGGCAAGAGUCCACUGGAGUUGUUAGAAGCAUGUUGCAGCACAACUUGGAGAGACAAAAAAAAUACAAAUAUAAGACACAAAUAGGAGCCUAAUAAACAAUUUUGGCACUAUCAUGUGAAUUAAUUUAACUCAACCCGAAUAUAUCGGCUUGACCGCAUGGGACCCAACAAAGACACUAAUUAAAAAAAAUUCUUAAUAAAUUAUCUAUAGAAUGAUUGUUUUAGUUAUUUUUUUCUAAAUUAAAAAAAAUGAUAAAGCAGCUGGUGCAAGCGAUCUUUUGAUUAAAAUAUAUGAGCAUAAGGUUGGUCUAACUAUAUUUCUUUGAAAAUUCAAGUACAAUAUAUAGUUCAAAUCAAAAUUUACAAGCUACAUGAGCUGUAUAUAAAAAAUAAUCAUUUUUUUAAUGAGCCUAAAAAUUGUUUUUUGUUUCUACCUCUAUGAUUUCGAUCUUUUAUGGUAAAAAAGCUUCUUUUUAUAUGAAUAUGCAUAAUUAAAAUAUAAAAAAUGCUGAGCCUACAAUCAAAAAAAGUUGUAAUAUUUACAAUCACUAAUUUAAUAGUUUUAAAAGUUUAACCAAUCUUUUUUUUUAUUUUUAGUCAAAAAAUAAUAAUAAAACUAGUAUAGUAUAAUAAAAUUAUAAAAUUAUAAUGUAAAUUGGAUCGUAAAUCUAACAUUAUUAUUAAAAUACAUACGAGUAACCAAGUCAUUUUAUCGAAAAAGUUUUAUGUAGUGUACAAAAAGUCGGUUGAGUACCUGCAUUGAUUAUGAACCCAAAAACCAAGUACAUGAAGCACUGCAUUAAUGCCUCUCUCUCUCUCUCUCUCUCUCUCUCAUCUCGUCUCAUAUAAUAUAUUAUAUAUAUAUAUUAUAUAUAUAUAAGUGAGGCUUACAUGCUAUCGAAGCACGGAGCCUCCGUGCUUCCAAGCUCGUUUUCGAUGUUGCGACUUUCGAUCGUCGAUCGGACUCGUUAACUUGAUCUAUAGUAUUUGGAGUACCUAGAAAAUAAAUUUUAUUAUUUUCGAUAUCAUUUGCUAGUGAUCGAAUGGGCUCAAAUCAACCAAUUUAUAUAUAUAUAUAUAGAGUGAGGCUACUAAUGCUAUCGGAAGCACGGAGUUUUCCGUGUCCAACUCGUUUUCGGAGUGUUGCGACUUUCGAAUCGUCGAUCGGCUCCGUUAAACUUGAUCUAUAGUAUUUGGAGUACCUAGAAAAUAAAUUUUAUUAUUUUUCGAUAUCAUUUCCCUAGUGAUCGAAUGGGCUCCAAAUCAACGAUUGACUCUGUUAGACUUGAUCUAUAUUAUUGAAAGUAUUUGAAAAUCAAAUUUUAUAAUUUUUCGUCAUCAUUUACCUAUCAAACGAGUGCUCUAAAAAUAAAUGGUGGAAAAUAAAAAUCUCAUAAAAAAUAUUGAUAAAAAAUUUAAAUUUAAAAUCAGAGGUACUAAUCUUAUUCUAAAUAAUAAAAAAAAAUUUGAUAAAAAGUUUAUUAAAUUUGGAUUGUUUUACACCGUUAAUUCACAAACGUAUCACAUCGGCCAUUAAAAUUGUCAUUUUUGAGACCUUUUGAUCACUAGUCAAAUAAUAUCGAAAAAUUAUAAAAUUUAGUUUUCAAAUAUUUUCAAUAGUAUAGAUUAAGUUUAACGGAGCCGAUUAUUGAUUUGAAAGUCGUAUCAUAAAAAACAACUUGAUAGCACGGAGGCCUCGUGCUACCGAUAGUAUACCAGCCUUGUUCUAUAUAUAGAGAGAGAGAGUGAGUAGGUCUACUAUGAUCUUAUGAGUAUAGUCAUUCGUACUCAUAAAUUAUUUUCGAUGAUGAAACUUUCAAAUCAAUUAUCAAUUCCGUUAAAUAUGAUCUAAAAUAUUUAAAACCUUUAAAAAAUAAAUUUCGUAAUUUUUCGAAAUCAUAAUAAAAAUCUAUCAAACGAGCAUAAAAUGAACGAUAAAAAACGAACAAUGUUCUAAAAAUGAAUGAUUAGAUAUUUCAAUUUCAAAUCGAAAUUAUUAAUCUUUAUCUAAGUAGUGAAUAGGAUUUUCUAUAAAAAAUUCAACUCAUUCUAAUUCUUUUGCACCGUUAAACUAGCAAAUAUUUUAUACCGGCCGUUAAAAAUUGUCAAUUGUGUAACAUUUUGAUUGUAAGGUAAAUGGUAUCGAAAAAUUAUGAAAUUUGAUUUUUAUAAGUUUUAAAUGGUCUAAAUAAUGUUUAACGGUAUGAAUCGUCGAUUCACAAGCUCUAUCAUUAAAAAUGACUUAUGAGUACGAGAGCAAUCGUACUUAUAAGAGUAUAAUAGCAGGACUCUUUCUCUCUAUAUUCUCUCUCUCUAUAUAGAGAGAAAGAGUCCGGCUACUAUACUAUCAAUAAUAUUGAAUUCUUGAUACUAUCAAAUUUUCUGCCGGUAGAUCUACCAUUUAAUCAUUUUUAUCUGCUAGAUUAUACUAUUCAACUAACCACCCACUCAAUUCUAGAAAAUCACUAUCAUUCUAACCACACAUCCUUUCAUUCAACGGUCGAAAAUUCGAUAACCCAAAGCGUUUGGUACUAUCAAUAGUGUAGUAGCAUAAUUCAUAUAUAUAUAUAUAUANAAAUAUUUACCAUCUUACAUUAUAUAUAUAUAUAUAUAUAUAUAUAUAUAUAUAUAUAUAAAAUUAGGUUGGAAUACUAUCAAUAACAUCAAGUUAUUGGUGCUAUUAGUUUUUAACCCUUGAAUUGAGAAAUGUGCGGUUAUGAUGAUGUGGGCCCAUUAGAUUGAGCGGGUAGUUAGUUGAAUAGUAUAAUCUAAUGGGUAAAAAAAAAAAAUAGUGGAUUAAAUCUAAUUAAUAGUGAAAAAUUUGAUAGCAUCAAACUCGUAGUGCUAUCGAUAGUAUCUCAGCCGGACUCUCUCUCUCUCU